rnacentral:rRNA from 1 species
GCAAGUCGAACGAGAAAGGGAACUUCGGUUCCUGAGUAGAGUGGCGCACGGGUGAGUAACACGUGGAUAACCUGCCCUGAAGUCUGGGAUAACAUCUCGAAAGAGAUGCUAAUACCGGAUAAGCCUACGCCCUCCUCGGAGGAAGUAGGAAAAGAUUUAUUGCUUCAGGAUGGGUCCGCGGUCCAUUAGCUAGUUGGUAGGGUAAUGGCCUACCAAGGCUACGAUGGAUAGCUGGUCUGAGAGGAUGAUC